rnacentral:misc_RNA from 1 species
GACCUAGGACCGGCUCACCGGGUCGCUUGGUGGCUCCGUCUGUCUGUCCGUCCGCCCGCGGGUGCCAUCAUGGCGGACGCGGCCAGUCAGGUGCUCCUGGGCUCCGGUCUCACCAUCCUGUCCCAGCCGCUCAUGUGGGAUAUGAGCCUCUUCCUCCAACAAUAGGACGAAAUAUUUUUGGGCGGCAAGUGUGUCAGCUUCCUGGUCUCUUUAGUUAUGCUCAGCACAUUGCCAGUAUCGAUGGGAGGCGCGGGUUGUUCACAGGCUUAACUCCAAGACUGUGUUCGGGAGUCCUUGGAACUGUGGUCCAUGGUAAAGUUUUACAGCAUUACCAGGAGAGUGACAAGGGUGAGGAGUUAGGACCUGGAAAUGUACAGAAAGAAGUCUCAUCUUCCUUUGACCACGUUAUCAAGGAGACAACUCGAGAGAUGAUCGCUCGUUCUGCUGCUACCCUCAUCACACAUCCCUUCCAUGUGAUCACUCUGAGAUCUAUGGUACAGUUCAUUGGCAGAGAAUCCAAGUACUGUGGACUUUGUGAUUCCAUAAUAACCAUCUAUCGGGAAGAGGGCAUUCUAGGAUUUUUCGCGGGUCUUGUUCCUCGCCUUCUAGGUGACAUCCUUUCUUUGUGGCUGUGUAACUCACUGGCCUACCUCGUCAAUACCUAUGCACUGGACAGUGGGGUUUCUACCAUGAAUGAAAUGAAGAGUUAUUCUCAAGCUGUCACAGGAUUUUUUGCGAGUAUGUUGACCUAUCCCUUUGUGCUUGUCUCCAAUCUUAUGGCUGUCAACAACUGUGGUCUUGCUGGUGGAUGCCCUCCUUACUCCCCAAUAUAUACGUCUUGGAUAGACUGUUGGUGCAUGCUACAAAAAGAGGGGAAUAUGAGCCGAGGAAAUAGCUUAUUUUUCCGGAAGGUCCCCUUUGGGAAGACUUAUUGUUGUGACCUGAAAAUGUUAAUUUGAAGAUGUGGGGCAGGGACAGUGACAUUUCUGUAGUCCCAGAUGCACAGAAUUAUGGGAGAGAAUGUUGAUUUCUAUACAGUGUGGCGCGCUUUUUUAAUAAUCAUUUAAUCUUGGGA